AGAGUUUGAUCCUGGCUCAGGAUGAACGCUGGCGGCGUGCUUAACACAUGCAAGUCGAACGAUGAUCCCAGCUUGCUGGGGGAUUAGUGGCGAACGGGUGAGUAACACGUGAGUAACCUGCCCUUAACUCUGGGAUAAGCCUGGGAAACUGGGUCUAAUACCGGAUAUGACUCCUCAUCGCAUGGUGGGGGGUGGAAAGCUUUAUUGUGGUUUUGGAUGGACUCGCGGCCUAUCAGCUUGUUGGUGAGGUAAUGGCUCACCAAGGCGACGACGGGUAGCCGGCCUGAGAGGGUGACCGGCCACACUGGGACUGAGACACGGCCCAGACUCCUACGGGAGGCAGCAGUGGGGAAUAUUGCACAAUGGGCGAAAGCCUGAUGCAGCGACGCCGCGUGAGGGAUGACGGCCUUCGGGUUGUAAACCUCUUUCAGUAGGGAAGAAGCGAAAGUGACGGUACCUGCAGAAGAAGCGCCGGCCAACUACGUGCCAGCAGCCGCGGUAAUACGUAGGGCGCAAGCGUUAUCCGGAAUUAUUGGGCGUAAAGAGCUCGUAGGCGGUUUGUCGCGUCUGCCGUGAAAGUCCGGGGCUCAACUCCGGAUCUGCGGUGGGUACGGGCAGACUAGAGUGAUGUAGGGGAGACUGGAAUUCCUGGUGUAGCGGUGAAAUGCGCAGAUAUCAGGAGGAACACCGAUGGCGAAGGCAGGUCUCUGGGCAUUAACUGACGCUGAGGAGCGAAAGCAUGGGGAGCGAACAGGAUUAGAUACCCCGGUAGUCC
rnacentral:rRNA from 1 species